rnacentral:rRNA from 1 species
UACGUAGGGAGCAAGCGUUGUUCGGAUUUACUGGGCGUAAAGGGCGCGUAGGCGGCGCGGUAAGUCACUUGUGAAAUCUCUGAGCUUAACUCAGAACGGCCAAGUGAUACUGCAGUGCUAGAGUGCAGAAGGGGCAAUCGGAAUUCUUGGUGUAGCGGUGAAAUGCGUAGAUAUCAAGAGGAACACCUGAGGUGAAGACGGGUUGCUGGGCUGACACUGACGCUGAGGCGCGAAAGCGUGGGGAGCGAACAGG